GCAGCAGCAGCGCUUGAGAGCAGAAAUGAGAGGCCCUGGCAGGACUACAAAGGGCUCCGGAGGAGCAGGUACGCCGGGGAUGAGGUCGAAUUCUGCCCUGAUUUACACCCCAUAACCUGGCAGCAGCUAAAGUUUUGCAGACAACCCGACGAGAUAAUCAUCACACGCUGGCAAUCACUUGCCAUCAAUUAUCCCCACGCUGCUGCUGUCAGUGGAUCACAGCCCCUACCUGGUGGGAGUCACUGCUGGUGCCACCGAGGCAUUUUCCAGAAAUGCAGGGCUGGGGAGGAUGGGAAACAGCUUCCAGACAGGCUCUGAGAUUGAUAUGCACGCCAAAGGGAAAUGCAUUAAACUAUUUAACUGCCUGGAAAUCCAGCAUAAUGAACAUCCAAAGGUAUCUUAUUACUAGUGCACUGUAGCUUGCCUUUAUUUA
rnacentral:lncRNA from 1 species